UUGCACAUGAAAAUGUUAAAAUAUCUUGAACGAUGGUACGGAACCCUUCGUAUGCGAGUCCGACUCACACUUGAACGGUUUUUAAGUCAAAUGUCACCCUCCCGCAACCCGCGCCUUACUUCACGAACCAUAUCAGUGAAACAGCAUGCCUAUAAUAAUAUAGGUAGGUAGUAUAGAGCGACUCAAACUUGAUAUUAUUGCUGUAUGGAUAUAAUGUCAAAAAUCAGGCAUCAAGAGACCUCCCAGUAUUCCACCGGAAGUAGGUAAGUAUAUUUAACAAUUUUGUA